rnacentral:rRNA from 1 species
GUGGGGGAUAUUGCACAAUGGGGGAAACCCUGAUGCAGCGACGCCGCGUGAAGGAAGACGUACUUCGGUAUGUAAACUUCUAUCAGCAGGGAAGAAGAUGACGGUACCUGACUAAGAAGCCCCGGCUAACUACGUGCCAGCAGCCGCGGUAAUACGUAGGGGGCAAGCGUUAUCCGGAUUUACUGGGUGUAAAGGGAGCGUAGACGGUGAAGCAAGUCUGAUGUGAAAACCCGGGGCUCAACUCCGGGAUUGCAUUGGAAACUGUUUUACUUGAGUGCUGGAGGGGCAAGCGGAAUUCCUGGUGUAGCGGUGAAAUGCGUAGAUAUCAGGAAGAACACCGGUGGCGAAGGCGGCUUGCUGGACAGUAACUGACGUUGAGGCUCGAAAGCGUGGGGAGCAAACAGGAUUAGAAACCCUUGUAGUCC